CAAAUGGGAGUAGAGUUGGAUAAGAAGAUACUAAGAAGACAACCAGACUGGUUAUCAGGCAGAGGGACUGGCUAGGCAAGAGCACACUGACCUACCACUUCUUUACACACCAUCUUUUAUCUCCCAUCUUCUCAAUUUUCUAUGUUUUCUCCCUGACCCACCUUGUUCGUUUCCUUUGCCUACCUGUUGCUUGUCUCUAGACAUCCCACAAUAAGUUUUGUACAACACCACCAGCCUUUUCAAAUAUCCCAUUAUAAAUUUGCUGUUUCCCCUGAAACUCAUGAUAAUCUUGUUUCCCUCUUCUUAUCAGUUGCUGCUGGUUCUGGCUGAGCUUCCUCAAGGCUUCAAGCAGUCCCUUCAACAGUCCAUCAAUCACUCAGUGACCUGAGAGCUGGGUUGUUGAUUCCUCAAAAAUGUUGACAACCAGCAAGUUAUGUCACCUCUUCUUAAGGAGCAGUUUUGAAUUGAACAUACGUGUUCAUUGGAACACAAAAGACCUGAAGACAAGCAAGAGAACAAUUUGUCAAAUAAAUUUAUCCUAAGGUAAAUUAUAUGGCAAAUCUUGACCUGAGAAGCAGCAGACAACCUAAAGUGAAACCAUGUCAGCAAGCAGACUCACAACUAAACAGGACAAGUGUGUGAUACUGCUCCUACCUAUAUCAUGACCCUGAAUUUAUUGGAAACUGCCUCUUGGAAAUAACAACUGGAACCUUAGACUCUGUCUGUACAUUACUUACCAUAUUACAUUACAUUUCUGGCAGACAUGUUUCAGAUAAAUAGGCAACAGAGUCUCCUAAGCAUUGAUGUUGCCAUUCCCAGGUACAUAAUAUUGUUAUUUAUAAUAUGUUUAAAAAGGAUAAGAUUUUUAAUUUCUAGAACAGGAUGGAGUAUUUUAAACAAACAAACAAACAAAAUGGAAAAAUUUAUUAAUAAAUAGUGGAAAGAAACCAGACUUCUGCGUAUCUGGAAGAUCUAGCAGAAAUACUGAACUAUUGACUUACCUUACAUAACUGUUUACCAAAGGGGACUUUCCUGGGACACUUCUCUCUUCAAACUAUUCUCUUCUGAUGCCUGCAUGUGUUCUAGCAUUCAGCCAUCAGAGUAGCCGCAUUUCAAACAGUGACCACAAUGAACUCCAGUAGAGAAAAAAUGCUCGAGUCAGCUUUUACAGGUCACUUCAGUGCUAUAAGUUCUGUGGGAGAUCAAAACAGAUAAUGAGAACACUGUACCAUGAUAAAAAGAUGUUUACAAUUUUUUCUUCACAUAGCGAAAAAUUAGAAUAAAAUUUUUUUGAAUAAGAAUAUGCUGAGAAGUCAGGUCUGAAUAUCAUCUGAAACAAUUUAU